CUAGCCGUAAACGAUGGAUACUAGGCGUUGAGAGGAUCGACCCUCGCAGUGCCGUAGCUAACGCGUUAAGUAUCCCGCCUGGGGAGUACGCGCGCAAGCGUGAAACUCAAAGGAAUUGACGGGGGCCCGCACAAGCGGUGGAGUAUGUGGUUUAAUUCGAUGCAACGCGAAGAACCUUACCAGGGCUUGACAUGUCCGGAACCCUGCCCAAAGGUGGGGGUGCCUACGGAAGCCGGAACACAGGUGGUGC
rnacentral:rRNA from 1 species